rnacentral:rRNA from 1 species
AUUGAACGCUGGCGGCAUGCCUUACACAUGCAAGUCGAACGGCAGCACGGGAGCAAUCCUGCUGGCGAGUGGCGAACGGGUGAGUAAUAUAUCGGAACGUGCCCAGUCGUGGGGGAUAACGCAGCGAAAGCUGUGCUAAUACCGCAUACGAUCUACGGAUGAAAGCGGGGGAUCGCAAGACCUCGCGCGAUUGGAGCGGCCGAUAUCAGAUUAGCUAGUUGGUGAGGUAAAGGCUCACCAAGGCGACGAUCUGUAGCUGGUCUGAGAGGACGACCAGCCACACUGGAACUGAGACACGGUCCAGACUCCUACGGGAGGCAGCAGUGGGGAAUUUUGGACAAUGGGCGAAAGCCUGAUCCAGCAAUGCGGCGUGCAGGAUGAAGGCCUUCGGGUUGUAAACUGCUUUUGUACGGAACGAAACGGUGAGCUCUAAUACAGUUUGCUAAUGACGGUACCGUAAGAAUAAGCACCGGCUAACUACGUGCCAGCAGCCGCGGUAA